ACGGAGGAUGCAAGCGUUAUCAGGAUUUAUUGGGUUUAAAGGGUGCGCAGGCGGACGAUUAAGUCAGUGGUGAAAUGUAAAAGCUUAACUGUUGAACUGCCAUUGAUACUGAUUAUCUAGAGUACAGACGACGUUGGCGGAAUGCGACAUGUAGCGGUGAAAUUCUUAGAAAUGUCGCAGAACACCGAUUGCGAAGGCAGCUAACGAGUAUUUAACUGACGCUCAUCCACGAAAGCGUGGGGAUCAAACAG
rnacentral:rRNA from 1 species